GGUGAAAUAUAGAGUCGUCUGGUGAUAGAUGUGGAGGGAAGGAUAUGGCGGUGACGGGCAGGGAGGAGAAGGGAAAGGAAGCGAGGCAGCAGAAGGGGGAUAGCAGAAACACGAGAGGGUACAUUGUAAAAGGUAGGGAAAAAGAGGUGUAAAGAAUAAAAAUGAAAGGAAGAAGGAUGGGUGAGGAGGAAAGAGAAAUCGUAUGACAAAAGGAAAAGAAGGGAAAAUGAAAAUAGACUUAUGGAGGCAAGAUGGAAAUAAAGAAAAGAUCGAGGGAAGUUAGAUGAAAAAAAAUAAAUGAAAAAAAAAGGAAAGGGGAUUUAGUUUUGAGAAGGGAACAUAAGUAUGAGAGAAAGGAAGUAAUGACGAGAGAAUGUAUAUAAGGCAGGAAGAAUAUGAAGUGCAUAUGAAUGAAGUUUAGAUAAGGAAGUCAGACAAACAAACACCGUAGGAAAAGGAAAGCCGUUAUGUAAUCUGAUGAAAUACAGUGAUAAAAGUGACAGACGACAGGUAGGGAAAAUAAAGGAACCUGAAAGAAGUGAAUAACAAAGAAAUAUAUUAGGUAAGGUUAGAAAAGACUUAGAUAAACAGGAACAGGAAAGAUUGACCAUUGGAAGGAAAGGGAUAUAGGUGCAAAAAUUAGGUAAAAUGGAAAGAAGGAAGAAAUAGGACUUAGAAUGAAGGAGCAAAGAAAGAAAGGAAGGAAAAGAAUAAGAAAGAAGUUAUAAAAAAAGUAAAGGAAUUUGAGAGCGAGAGGAACUAAAGAAAAUAUCCGGGAAAGGAAGAAUAAGGAACACAUUAUAAAAAAAGAAAGUGGGAGGGAAGGAAAGGUCUUCCAUAGGAAGGGAAGGCAGUGGCGUAAUGGGGAAGGUAAAGUAACAAAUAUUGGGAAAAAAGGAGGGGAAGGAAGAAGGGUCUGUAAAAAUGGAGAGAGGAGGUUAAAUGAUGAAUGAAGGAGGGAGGGAAGGAGGAAGAGAGUGCCACAAAAGGGAGGGAAAGAAAGAAGGGUCUGUAAAAAUGGAGAGAGAAGGUUAAAGGAUGAAUGAAGGAGGGAGGGAAGGAGUAAGAGAGUCCCACAAAAGGGAGGGAAAGAAAGAAGGGUAUGUAAAAAUGGAGAGAGAAGGUUAAAUGAUGAAUGAAGGAGGGAGGGAAGGAGGAAGAGAGUGUCACAAAAGGGAGGGAAAGAAAGAAGGGUAUGUAAAAAUGGAGAGAGGAGGUUAAAUGAUGAAUGAAGGAGGGAGGGAAGGAGGAAGAGAGUGCCACAAAAGGGAGGGAAAGAAAGAAGGGUAUGUAAAAAUGGAGAGAGGAGGUUAAAUGAUGAAUGAAGGAGGGAGGGAAGGAGGAAGAGAGUGCCACAAAAGGGAGGGAAAGAAAGAAGGGUAUGUAAAAAUGGAGAGAGGAGGUUAAAUGAUGAAUGAAGGAGGGAGGGAAGGAGGAAGAGAGUGCCACAAAAUCACGAAUAUGAAGAUGAGCAGGCAAGCAGGUGAGAUCCUCGUCCUACCAUAAUGCUUCUCUACUCCUCUCAGCUUUUCCUCUUGCUCCUCCUCUUCUUCUUCUUCCUCCUCCUCCUCCUCUUCUGCCUCCUUGUCUUCCUCCUCGUCAUCCUCCUUCUCUUCCUCCUCCUAUUCCUCUUACUCCUCCCCAACUUCCUCCACAGGUAAAUAGAAAGAGAGGUGUCUGUCCCGUAGAGCACGACUCGUGAAUUAAGCAAAGGACGUAAGUGGAGGUGUGAGUGUGUGUGUGUGUGUGUGUGUGUGUGUGUGUGUGUGUGUGUGUGUGUGUGUGUGUUAUGUAUGUAUAUCUUACCGUGAGUGAUGUGUCUUUGCUUUUAACUUCAUUAUGUUCACAGUUUGUCUUGCUUAUUUUUCGUCUUUUUUCCGUCGGUUCGUCACGUCCCU